rnacentral:rRNA from 1 species
CCUGCCGCAGAGUGGGGGAUAGCCGGCCCAACGGCCGGGUAAUACCGCAUACGAUCGUAUCGGGACAUCCCGUAACGAUGAAAGAUUUAUCGCUCUGUGAGGGGCUCGCGGCCUAUCAGCUAGUUGGUGCGGUAACGGCGCACCAAGGCGACGACGGGUAGCUGGUCUGAGAGGAUGGCCAGCCACAUUGGGACUGCGACACGGCCCAGACUCCUACGGGAGGCAGCAGUGGGGAAUCUUGCGCAAUGGGCGAAAGCCUGACGCAGCGACGCCGCGUGGGGGAGGAAGGUCUUCGGAUCGUAAACCCCUGUUGCCCGGGACAAAUCCACCGAUUCAUCGGUGUUGACGGUACCGGGUGAGGAAGCACCGGCUAACUCCGUGCCAGCAGCCGCGGUAAUACGGAGGGUGCGAGCGUUGUCCGGAAUCACUGGGCGUAAAGGGCGCGUAGGUGGCUGGGUAAGCGUGUGGUGAAAGCCUGGGGCUCAACCCCGGGUCGGCCAUGCGAACUGCCGAGCUUGAGCACUGUAGAGGCAGACGGAAUUCCGGGUGUAGCGGUGGAAUGCGUAGAGAUCCGGAAGAACACCGGUGGCGAA